AAUUAACUGAGAGCAAUUAUUCUGGUUAAUGCUUAGAAAGAAAUCCCAAGGCAUUUGUAUUUAUCUUACGACUGCGCAGCUCUUUGCACAGUGUCCAGUCUUUGAUUUUACAGAAACAAGCUGAGGUCACAGUCAGUUUCAGAGCCGGAUGCCAGUGUUCAAGCUUGGUGCUCUUCUGCCAUCUCCUACUCCAUGGCUACUUGAUUUCCUUCUGCAGUGUUGAGAGUGCACAGAAAGUUUUAGUGAAAAACAUAAGUAGCAGCAAGCUGACUAACACAGAAGGGAUACAAACAAGAUAUUACAGGAGGAACUGCUAGGCUGCCUGAGAAUCCUGUGUGUUGUAUCACCUUUGGAAUCAGAUGUUACAAUCAACCUUGCUUGAAAUUUUUGGGCUGCUGAUGCAGAAAGAAUGAAUGCCUAACACAUGCAUAUACACCCAAUGCUCACCAACUGAAGACUUUAUGAGAAAUUGAGGCUGUUCCAGUCUAAGUGAAUUAAACAUAUUGAGUGCUGAAUUGCCAUACAGUUAUAAUACAUAGUACUUUUCCAUGGGUCUCAAAUAUUAUUUGUUAUAUUCUAUCCUACGAGUUGUACCAACUAUUGCCAAAAAGUAUAAAAUAAUGUUUCAUAUUCAAGCAAAGUAAAUUUUUUAGUUUUACAUUUAAAGAGUAUGUAAGACAUUAUGCAGAUGAAUGGUUUCUUACAUUAGAAAUUUUUUCUGGUAAUCACUUUAACUGACCUUUUUUUUUUUGUCUUAUAGGACAUAUUUUCCAAGUGUUAAAAUAAGUCUAAAACCUGUUAUACAGUGAGGCUCAACUUAUUGUUUUCAAUUAUACUGUGAUGGAUUAAUGAACCGCACUGUAUAACAGAUGCUUGACUUCAAUAUCUACAUAUUACACAGAUAUUAAAGCUUUUCUAUUAUUCAGUUGCUUGAAAUAUCUAAAGUUGUCUUUAGUUUAUUGAUAGAAGUUUCAGGCUUAUGAUCUCUUUCAUUAAAAACGGUGUUCUUUAUGGAAUCAUUCAUUUCCCUUGGAGAUAGGGCAGGGCUUUUCUUUGUAAUCCUGGCUGUCCUGGACCUUGAAAUAUAGACCAGGCUGGGGUCAAACUCACAGAGGUCCCCCUGCCACUGUUUCCAGAGUACUGGUGUUAAAAGUGUACUCUAGCACACCAAGCCUUGUUGAAACAAUUUUAAUAUUAAGAGGUGUUAAUAAAUCAGGAGUAAAAAGACACUCUUAUAAUAUAAAAUCUUAAAAUCAUAUAAAAUAUAGAAGAAUUUUUAUCUCUAUAUUAUUAUUUAGUGAAAUGUACUCGUGAUGGUUGAUUUUGAUUAUCAAAUUGAUUUAAUUUAGAAAUACAGAAAUAAAUCUCUGGGUAUGUCUACAGGGGGUUAUAUAAAAUUUAAUGAAGAUUGGAGAACUCUUCCUAAAUGUGAGGUAUGCAAUCCCAUGCGCUAGCCCCUCAGGCUGAGCAUAAACAUUCAUUGGUUCUCUGAGUCCUGAGUGCCCAUGCAGUGUGUUCAACCAGCUACCUGCUCUGGCUGCCAUACCUUUCUCACCAUGGUGGAACAUAGGAACUGUUAACCCCCUUAAAUUGUUGUUAGAUAGUCUUUCCACGGAACUUAAAGCUGACUAAUGCAUUAAUAAUGUUUUUGAUAUGCUUGAAUUACCCUAGAUGCACAGAACACAUGAAACUCAAGAUGGAUGAUCAAAAUGCGAAUG
rnacentral:sRNA from 1 species